rnacentral:rRNA from 1 species
ACUCCUACGGGAGGCAGCAGUGGGAAUAUUGCACAAUGGGGAAGCCAUCGAUGCAGCCAUGCCGCGCUGUGUGAAGAAGGCCAAUUCGGGGCUUUGGUUAAAGACACUUUUCAGCGAGGAGGAAAAGGGGUGUGUGCUAAAUACCAUACAUCUGUGACGUUACUCGCAGAAGAAGCACCGGCUAACUCCGUGCCAGCAGCCGCGGUAAUACGGAGGGUGCGAGCGUUAAUCGGAAUUACUGGGCGUAAAGCGUGCGCAGGCGGUUUGUUAAGCGAGAUGUGAAAGCCC